rnacentral:rRNA from 1 species
GACGAACGCUGGCGGCGUGCUUAACACAUGCAAGUCGAGCGGUAAGGCCCUUCGGGGUACACGAGCGGCGAACGGGUGAGUAACACGUGGGUGACCUGCCCCCAACUCUGGGAUAAGCCCGGGAAACUGGGUCUAAUACCGGAUAUGACCUCUGGUCGCAUGACUGGUGGUGGUAAAGUUUUUCGGUUGGGGAUGGGCCCGCGGCCUAUCAGCUUGUUGGUGGGGUGAUGGCCUACCAAGGCGACGACGGGAGCCGGCCUGAGAGGGCGACCGGCCACACUGGGACUGAGACACGGCCCAGACUCCUACGGGAGGCAGCAGUGGGGAAUAUUGCGCAAUGGGCGGAAGCCUGACGCAGCGACGCCGCGUGGGGGAUGACGGCCUU